rnacentral:rRNA from 1 species
AUGAACGCUGGCGGCGUGCCUAAUACCUGCAAGUCGAGCGAACAGGCGAGGAGCUGCUCCUCUGACGUUAGCGGCGGACGGGUGAGUAACACGUGGAUAACCUACCUAUAAGACUGGGAUAACUUCGGGAAACCGGAGCUAAUACCGGAUAAUAUAUUGAACCGCAUGGUUCAAUAGUGAAAGACGGUUUUGCUGUCACUUAUAGAUGGAUCCGCGCCGCAUUAGCUAGUUGGUAAGGUAACGGCUUACCAAGGCAACGAUGCGUAGCCGACCUGAGAGGGUGAUCGGCCACACUGGAACUGAGACACGGUCCAGACUCCUACGGGAGGCAGCAGUAGGGAAUCUUCCGCAAUGGGCGAAAGCCUGACGGAGCAACGCCGCGUGAGUGAUGAAGGUCUUCGGAUCGUAAAACUCUGUUAUUAGGGAAGAACAAAUGUGUAAGUAACUAUGCACGUCUUGACGGUACCUAAUCAGAAAGCCACGGCUAACUACGUG